rnacentral:rRNA from 1 species
UACGUAGGCAGCGAGCGUUGUUCGGAGUUACUGGGCGUAAAGGGUGUGUAGGCGGUUUUCUAAGUUUGGUGUGAAAUCUCCCGGCUUAACCGGGAGGGUGCGCCGAAAACUGGGAGACUAGAGUGCGGGAUGGGAGAGUAGAAUUCCUGGUGUAGCGGUGAAAUGCGUAGAUAUCAGGGGGAAUACCGGUGGUGCAGACGGCUCUCUGGACCGCAACUGACGCUGAGACACGAAAGCGUGGGGAGCAAACAGG